GUCUACGGCCACGCCACCCUGAAUGAGCCCAAUCUUGUCUGUCUCGGAAGCUAAGCGGGGUCGGGCCUGGUUAGUACUUGGAUGGGAGAUCACUUAGGAAUAUCAGGUGCUGUAGGCG
rnacentral:rRNA from 1 species